UCUGUGGAGAAAAAAUCAUACAUGAAAUGAUUUCAUUACCCGACUGCGUAAAAUGAAGUUUUUACAUUUUCAGUGUUAUAAAUAGUGACAUUUUUGUCGACGGCAGUUAUUUUCUCUCGACGUCGGUGAUGAUUUUGUUGGGGAUAAAACAAUUAAAACGGACUAAAAUGUGCUAAAUACAUAAUCAUCCCGGUUCAAUAAACUAAGCAGAAAAACAACGGAAUUUCACUGACUCGUGAAUGCUGAUAAUGCGUCGCUUCGCACAGCGCCAGGAAAUUGGCUAAUCCGUGGAUCUGCCGGCGAACCUUGCGAAGGUGAACUUGUUAAGUGCACAUACGUACGCGAAAGGGGUCCUGAUAACGCAGCUCAAAGUAUUCAGCCUUCUACCCUCGGUAACGGCGGAGAGUGCGGCAAAAUCAAUCGAUCACUGUGCUUUUAAACAAAUGUUAAAAUAUCGUUCUUAACUGAUAAUAAUGAAUUUCUCAAUAUUUUUAAGUAAGUAUACAGAAAAUCUUAGAAAAUGUAAAAAGCAAUAUAAGGCAAUAAAUACGAAAAUAAAUUAAAUAUAAUAGAACAAAAAA